rnacentral:rRNA from 1 species
AGUUAAGUGACGAUAGCCUAGGAGAUACACCUGUACCCAUGCCGAACACAGUAGUUAAGCCCUAGAACGCCUGAAGUAGUUGGGGGUUGCCCCCUGUUAGAUACGGAAGUUGCUUAGCUU